rfam:Myotis davidii contig175486, whole genome shotgun sequence.
GGAAGUUCUCAGGUGAUGCACCCUGGAAUUGGGCUUCCUCCUAUCUGGUUCCUGGGUGCAUCACAGAACCGCU